CCUACGGGGGGCAGCAGUGGGGAAUAUUGGACAAUGGGCGAAAGCCUGAUCCAGCCAUGCCGCGUGUGUGAAGAAGGCCUUCGGGUUGUAAAGCACUUUCAGUGGGGAAGAAAGCCUUGGGGCUAAUACCCUCGAGGAAGGACAUCACCCACAGAAGAAGCACCGGCUAACUCCGUGCCAGCAGCCGCGGUAAUACGGAGGGUGCGAGCGUUAAUCGGAAUUACUGGGCGUAAAGCGCGCGUAGGCGGUCUGAUAAGCCGGUUGUGAAAGCCCCGGGCUCAACCUGGGAACGGCAUCCGGAACUGUCAGGCUAGAGGGCAGGAGAGGAAGGUAGAAGUCCCGGUGUAGCGGUGAAAUGCGUAGAGAUCGGGAGGAAUACCAGUGGCGAAGGCGGCCUUCUGGACUGACACUGACGCUGAGGUGCGAAAGCGUGGGUAGCAAACAGGAUUAGAUACCCGUGUAGUC
rnacentral:rRNA from 1 species